GUCACAUUUACUGAAAAUCAACCUAUUGAUAUCACAGCUGAAAAUAUAAACUCGACAACCAAAGCCCAUUGCACAACGUGGACUGCGUAAGAGUUAAAAAUAGAUUUGACGUGCCUCCUACCUGCAUAAUAAAUAUUCCAUCAAAAUUCUGAGCAGUAUUGACAAACCACACGAGCACCGGGUCUGACUGCAUGAUCAGCUGUCUGUGUCUACGCUACACCCUGUUAACCACAAGCAGUGUUAGAGCUAAAUAUAUCUGCAAUGCAGAAACAGUAGGUGCUAUGUGGUAUACAAUUCUGAUUAGUUUUAAGAUAUUUUUCUAUCCUCAGAUAUAACAAAUAAAACAAAAUUUGCUGC